CGCUUCGGCUCUUCUCCCCCGCCGCCGGCUCGAAUCCUUCAGCCUUUGAAUGGCGGAGGCGGAGGCGGAGGCGGAGGCGGGGACGGGGGCGGCGGAGCUGUGCUGCAUCUCGCACGAGUUCGACCGCGCCGCUCGCCGGAACUCCGCUCGCCUCGCCGUCAUCCACGCGGCGGCCUCCGGCGGCGACGGCGAGGAGCGCCGCUUCACCUGCGGGGACCUCCUCGCCGCCGUUGCCUCGCUGUCCCGCCGCAUCGCGGCCGCGCUCGCCGGCCCUUCCUCCGACCCCCGCGAGCGCUCAGGAUCUCGCGGCGGCGCCGCGGUGCCGAGGGUCGUCGGGGUGCACGCCUUGCCGUCAGUGGAGUACGUCGCCGCCGUCCUCGCCGUGCUCAGGUGCGGCGAGGCGUUCCUGCCGCUGGACCCGGCGUGGCCGGAGGAGAGGGUGUUGUCGGCCGUCUCCGAGUCCAACGCGGCGCUCCUCGUGUCGUCGGUUGGGUCGCGAGGAGCCUGUCCUGUGUUUGAGAGCUGCCCUUGCCCUGUUCUGCACUUGGGCGCUGACAUCCGGCAAUGGUCUCGGGACGAAAAUGGUGGAGAGGACCUUGCCUGGCCGUGCGAGCGCGAAAGGCCCCGGAAGUUCUGCUACGUGAUGUUCACCUCUGGCUCAUCUGGGAAGCCCAAGGGCGUUUGUGGCACCGAGAAAGGUCUUCUCAAUCGCUUUUUGUGGAUGCAAAGAAGGAAUCCUUUGUGUUCAGAUGAUGUGUUGUUGUUUAAGACAUCUAUCAGCUUUGUUGACCAUCUACAGGAGUUCCUUUCUGCGGUGUUGACUUGCACAACACUUGUCAUUCCUCCUCCCAGUGAGUGGAGAGCUAAUCCAGCAUCCUUGGCUAACUUGAUUAAGGUUUACCGGAUAUCAAGGAUGACUUUGGUUCCAUCACUUAUGGAGAUAAUACUACCUGACCUGGCAAAAAUACUUUCUGGUAGUUGUAACCCACUUAGGAUCCUAAUAUUUAGCGGGGAACUUCUGUCCGUCUUGUUGUGGAAGAGGGUCUAUGAAGUUCUGCCAGAGACUACUAUCAUAAAUCUGUACGGAACAACGGAGGUUUCUGGUGACUGUACAUUCUUUGAUUGCAAAGAUUUGCCUAUGAUUUUGGAGCGAGAAGAACUAAGCAGUGUACCAAUUGGAUUUCCUAUUUCAAAUUGUGAGGUUUCUCUUGUCACUGAAGAUGGACUAGCAGAUGAAGGUGAAAUAUCUGUCAGUGGAGCAUGCUUGUUUUCUGGAUAUUUAUCUGAUCCCACGACAAGUAACUGCCCUGGCAACGAUGAAUUUUUAGCAUACUACAAAACAGGUGACUUUGCUCGACGCCUAAAGACAGGUCAACUUAUUUUCCUUGGGAGAAAGGACCGUACUGUUAAGACUUAUGGGCAGCGUUUCUCACUGGAGGAGGUAGAAUCCAUCUUAAGGGAACAUCCUGAUGUCAAUGGCGCCGCUGUUACUUUUCAAGGUAAUGGAUCUCUGGAUUUUAAGGCAUACCUGAUACUGAAGAGUAACAAUGAAUUUUCAAAAUAUACUCAACGUUGUAGUCGAUUAAAUUCUUCUCACGAUAUCAUGGCACCACUUCGAAGUUGGCUCAUAACGAAGCUUCCACUAGUUAUGGUUCCAAGGCUCUUUAUCCCCGUGAAAUCAUUACCUUUGACUUUAUCAGGAAAGAUUGACUAUGCAAAGUUAUGUAGCUUGGAGUGUGCCUUGGAACCUUGUGAAAUUGAGUCAGAAAGCAGUCCAGAUGAUGCUCAUAUGCAAGUUAUCAAAAGGGCAUUUUCUGAUGCCCUACACGUUGAUGAAGUUUCCGAGUAUGAUGACUUCUUUGCCUUGGGCGGUAAUUCAAUUUCCGCUGCACAUGUGGCUCACAAGUUGAAGAUCGACAUGAGACUGCUUUAUAUCUAUACCACCCCUUCUAAGCUUUUGCAUGCUUUAUUUGUGGAGAGCAGUCAUGUAGUUUCUCCUACUCAUGAGUUUCACAACAAGAAGAGGUUCAAAGUAUCCGCAAGCAUAUCAGGCUCCUUUGAUCCAGUUUCUGCAAAUUUGGAUAAUAACUUUCAUGGCAAAGGGAAUACAAAUGAAGAGGGCACACACGAUCACUUUGUGGGGAAUAAUGUAAAUAAAACAGCUGGCCAGCUUAAUAAAAAUAUGACUUAUGAUAGAUAUCAGGCAAAAGAUGAAAACCUCUGCUCAGGUACAUGCUCGAAUGAUGGAAUUUUCAGUGGCACCCCAUCAUCACCAUGGAUCCUAAAUUUUUCUUUACAAAAGAAAUGGUCUUUUGGUCGUUGCAAUAGAUUUAUGCAUGGUUCUGAAGGGCUCCUACAAGUUGAAGAUAUUUGCACAUCUAUGUCAUACAACAAAAGAGAUUACCUCAUGAAGCUUUGGGACGUUCCUCUGGAUUCAUGUGUUGAUGCCUCACCUUUGCUUGUCGUGAACAAUGGGAUGAUGAACAUUUUUAUUGGUUCUCAUUCUCAAUUGUUUCUCUGCGUUGAUGGUUGUAGCGGUUCAGUGAGGUGGAGUGUCAAAUUGGAAGGUCGUAUUGAGUGUUCUGCCACUGUAACUGGUGAUUUCUCAGAGGUUGUUGUUGGAUGUUAUAAUGGGAAAAUUUACUUCAUUGAUAUGUCUACAGGAAAACUAUCCUGGACCUAUCAAACUGAUGGGGAGGUAAAAAUGCAACCAGUUGUGGACAGGAUGAGGAACUUAAUAUGGUGUGGCUCCUAUGACCAUUACUUAUAUGCAUUAAAUUACAAAGACCAUUGCUGCACUUACAAAAUUUCUUGUGGUGGAAGCAUUUAUGGUUCUCCUGCUAUAGACAUGGCACAAAACAUAAUCUAUGUCGCAUGUACGAGUGGCCUUGUGACUGCAGUAUCAUUUGAGGAACCAUCAUUCAAGAUGGUUUGGCAAUACGAAGCUGGUGCACCAAUUUUUGGUUCCCUCGCCUUAGAUCAUCAAAGUGGAAAAGGGCAACUAUGCGUUGAUCAAGCUUCAUUUAUAUAUCAAGAUUUGAAUAUAGAUGCCAUCUUUUUCAUACCUCCUGCCAACACAGGGUGUGCUAUACUUCUAUAUAUUUUUAUGUUCUAUGUGCAGACAUGUCUUUUUUUUUUGCUGGUUACUACACUUGCAACAUGCAGUUAUUUGCUGCUUGGUGAAUGGCCUAGUUAUCGCAUUGAACUCACAAGGCAUUAUUAUUUGGAAGGCAACUGUUGGCGGUCCUAUUUUUGCUGGUGCAUGUUUGUCGUCCACCCUCCCCUAUCAGGUGCUCAUACCUUCCCGGGAUGGCAGUUUAUACUCUUUUGAUGUUACUUCCGGUGCUCUUCUUUGGGUAUACAAUGUUGGGGAUCCAAUUACUGCAUCUGCCUUUGUUGAUGAGAUGUUAACAUCAGAGUCAUCCGGGCAAUCUGAGAGAUAUGCUUGUGUCUGCACGAGUUCUGGGAGGGUCCAUGUCAUCAGGAUUAGAGCUGAUGCUAAGCAGGAGCAAGCUGGUGAAGGUGUUAAGUAUGAGGAGUUGGUCCAAGGAUUGGCGUCCAUUGAUCUUCCAGGCGACAUAUUUUCAUCACCCUUGAUGAUCGGUGGACGCAUCUUUGUUGGAUGCAGAGAUGAUCGGUUGCAUUGUCUCACGGUCACCACGUAGCUUCAAGUGGAUUUUGUUGGAGUUCUGAGGUGAUCUAAUUUGCCUGCCUGUCUGACCGACAUCAUGUCUUCUGCGACGAGCCUUUUCUUACUGACAAGGCAUCCGGCGCAGCACCGUGCAGGACAUGAUAUGCCCCAACGUGAGUGGCCUGAUCAUUGGACAAUCGAUUUAGGGGUGAGUUGAGGCCCCUGCCUCCUGGUGGUUGGAUCUCCAAUGGUAGCUUUGCAUGUCAGCACAUGUGACCGGAAUGGCCUGCUCGCGAUAGAAGUGCAACCUGAAAAGGUCAUGGAUGAAGUGAGUGCUUGUCGUCCAACCUCACAGUCUCACUGUCAUCACGGGACUUGCAUUCAUCGCUGGGGUCCUGCAGUGCUGUUGAGUCAUGCUUUUGUCCCCUGGGUUCUCCAACUUCACCAGUGGUGACGGAAUGGAAGUUGACUCUUGCCGGCAGCAAUAGGCAGAGGCUGUACAGUUGCUCAGACGACCGGCCUUGUUUGGUUCACACUUGAAUUCCUAGUACACACAAGCCGAGAAAAGAAUCUGGCAUGCAUGGAGUGCUAAAUGAAGUCUAUUUGUAAAACUUUUUCAGAGAUGGGUAUAAUUUUUCACGACGAAUCUAAUGACGGUAAUUAAUCAAUAAGUGGCUACAGUGAUGCUACCGUAAUUAUUCUCUAAUCACGCGUUAAAGGCCUCAUUAGAUUCUUUAGGGUUUCUAGCGUAGAGUUCUGUAGUUAGUUUUGUAAAAUAAUUUUGUUUAACAUUAUAAUUAGCGGUUAAAGUUUACUAGUA